rnacentral:rRNA from 1 species
CCUACGGGGGGCAGCAGUGGGGGAUAUUGCACAAUGGGGGAAACCCUGAUGCAGCGACGCCGCGUGUGGGAAGACGGUCCUCUGGGUUGUAAACCACUGUCCCCAGGGACGAAGAUGACGGUACCUGGGGAGGAAGCUCCGGCUAACUACGUGCCAGCAGCCGCGGGAAUACGUAGGGAGCGGGCGUUGUCCGGAAUUACUGGGGGUAAAGGGAGCGUAGGCGGGGAUGCAAGUUGGGGGUCAAAACUACGGGCUAAACUGGGGGUCGCACUGAAAACUGCAGCUCUUGAGUGAAGGAGAGGCAGGCGGAAUUCCUAGUGUAGCGGUGAAAUGCGUAGAUAUUAGGAGGAACACCAGUGGCGAAGGCGGCCUGCUGGGCUUUUACUGACGCUGAGGCUCGAAAGUGUGGGGAGCAAACAGGAUUAGAUACCCGAGUAGUC